CUGCCGACGUUAUUUUAGGUGACACGACACGACAGUACACGGACACGAACACGAACACGGCACCGCAGGGCGUUUACGUCGUUAUUAAUUGCUUCCAGAGAAACAAACCGAGAAGAAGGUGGUAGGCGGAGACAGCUUGAGUCAUCACGCGCACGUACACACACAGUGACACUUCCAGUAAAAAGCCCGGGUUUAAACUACGGAUGCCUAGUGUAGUGUGACCAGAUGACAGCUAAUGUAGGCUCCAGAGUCCAGCCUGCGCUCUGUCAAAGUUGUAUUGUCCUGGGCCCUUGCUCUGCUGCUCCUACUUCUGGCCUUCUUCUCAACUCUUUUCUGGUGUCCGGAUUUGUGCUAUUUGGGGAGCAUCCUAACCCUGCUGGAGUUCGCUCGCACUCACUUAAUUCCGAUGAGGAGGAACCAUGGGAAGAACUAACCGCGGAGUGGACCAAUGUUCCUCCUAAUUUUUCAUGUGUCUGAGCAAACGCACAAACUCUCUGAGCAUUCCUUGGACCCCAUGCGAGCAACAUCAGACAUUCACACUGUCACCACACCUGUAUCACACCUGUCCCGAACCUGACAUCAUCCAUCCAUCCAUUUUCUACCGCAAGUUAAAUGCUUUAUUUUAUUUUAAUAAUCAUACGAUUGAAGUAAUUUCCAUUAUAUUAUUUUUUAAUAUAAGUGAUUUGGCCCACCGACAAUGAAAAUUAAAAUCUUGUUUUUCAUGAGCUGUAUGUUGAAUGUCUGGGUGGGGGUCAUGCUGUGGAAGAAUUUGAGACAUGUACCAUUAUUAGAGAUGACUUUAUGUUCACCUUGAACAUUCUCAUUUGGCACAAUGAGAUGUGUGCUGCAGCCCAAGCAUGGGAUACAGUGUACAACUUUUUGUCUGUUAAAUACAUCAUUGCAGAGUUUUUCAUUGGCAUUUAUAUUGAACAUUCACAGCUAAGUUUAUGUUAUAUUUAUUUUUAUGAUAUUGUUUUUUUUUUUUUUAUAACUUACAUGUUUAAAUGACAACAUCUUCAA